AAAAACCCCGAAAAAUACUCAACGUGUAUCCUCUAAUGAGGAACCAAUCAGAGUAUCCAAAUUGAAGGAUAUUCUGGAAACCACUGGCCUGAACUUUCUAAAAAAGUCCGUGCCAGUAAAAAACAACAAACAAAAAAGGCAGAACAAGUGUUCUAAAUUGAAGGAAAUUAAAGAGACUGGAUAGCUAAAUGCAGUAUGUGAUCCUUGUUAAAUCCUGGGUUUAUCUUUUACAAACAACAACAGAGAAGGAAAGAUUCUUGGGGGACAAGUGAGGAAAUUCGAAUAUGGACUAAUAAAAUUAUAGUGAGAUAACAAUGGUGGAUUCCGACUUCCUGCGUACGUCUGAAGACCCUGAUGACACAUUUCCUACGGACACUGCAGUCUGAGUCCUCCUCAACAGGCGCGAUUGCGGCCCGCCCUCCCCCACACACAGUUGGCAGCGUCUGGAAACAUUGUUGGUUGUCACAACUGGAGGAAGGGAGGGGUGGCACUGGCAUCUAGUGAGUGGAGGCCAGGGGCGCUGCUAAACAUUGUACGAUAAACGAGACAGCUCCCAUCACCCCACAACAAAGACUCAUCCUGCCCCAAACGUCCACAGUGCCGCGAUCGAGAAACCCAGAUGCAGGAGGCUUCCCUUUUCCUUAGCGGAUAUCGACUGAGAUAAAACACUGCACAUACAUGGCCCUCCGCGCGGACUCCCCUCCUCCCCGGGGACCCGAAGGUAGCACCCCUCCCGGGGCGAAGAGCUGACAGGCGAGCCUGCGCGGUGGGAGGAUCCUGCGAGAGGCCACUGCGCAUGCGCCGGCGGCCUGCCGCACCCACGCGGCGCUUCUGCAAAAGUUACAGACCGCCGGGUGGCCGCGCGGUGCGGUCACGCGGAGCUGCCCACCCAGUAGAGAAGAAAACUCCCGUGGGGCAUCGGCUUCUUCGGGAAAGACAACGAUGCUUCCCCCGUUGAAGCCCGGAGUCCUCCUCCUAGGCCAUCCGCCAAGGGCUGCAGGGAGCGUGGCUCAUCCUUUCGGAGCCCCUCCCAGGAAGAGUCAGUUGUGUGUGGCCCGCGGUGCCCGGCCGUCCGUUCCAGGCUGGACUCUCCAAGGGGAAAAAUUCCAACUGGAAAGCAGGCUUUUUCCAGGUCAGGUUGAAGAGUCCUUUCCUCGUGUCACCUUCUCAGUUCCUCCCUGGGGUUAGCAGUCCAAAGUCACAAGAGAUCCACGUCAACACAGCCUAAGAUGGUUACUCAGCUUCACAGCACCAGGUCAGAGAGAAAAGGGGCUCAGUUGGGACAGUUCAUCUACGCUCCACUCAGCUUUGGCUGGGGUAGCAGAAAGGCUGGGAACUGGGACCAUCUCAAGUCUUGCCCACUAAGAGGUCUGGCGGUUGAUGCCGGAGAUCUCCUGGAGCCCUGGCUGUGGAUGUCAAACACCUCCAUGUGCUUUCUACAUGCGCCCUCACAACAUGGUGGCUGAUUUCCAAGAAUUAAAACAUAUCCGGAGAGUUGGUGUAUGUAUGAAGAAAAGCAGGAAGCAUUCCAACGUCCUGGCAGCAUGAGCAGUCUGAAAUGGCCUACUUCUGCUUAAUCAUUCCUAUUUUAACUAUAAAAACCGUACUACUGUGUCAAAAGUUAUGGGU
rnacentral:lncRNA from 1 species